rnacentral:lncRNA from 1 species
GGAGGGUAACAGGAGGGGCGUCUGGGUGAAGACAGGCACCUGUGGUUCCUUUCUCUCUCUGGCCGGGGUCUCCGUUUUCACUGAAUCCCUUGUGGACCCCGAAGGGACCAAACACAUUCUACCGGCUGGUGACUGAAGUCCUCACACGCCUGUGCUGCGUUUGCUAUUUCAAAGCAUGAAAUACAGAGUCUUGUGUGGAGAGCAUUUUUCUUUGCCUUCAAAAUGUUUAAACGGUGAGGAAGGUUCGUGGGGAAGGUCAUGAAGAUGUUGGAAUUCAUCAUGCAUUCGACUUUAAAACGUUCUUCAAGGGCUGCCCUGUCGCCGAGUGGUUAAGUUCGCGCUCCGCUUCCGCCACCCAGGGUUUUCUGGUUCGGAUCCUGGGCGUGGACAUGGCACUGCUCAUCAGGCCAUGUUGAGGUGGCAUCCCACAUGCCACAACUAGAAGGACCCACAACUAAAAUAUACAACUAUGUACUGGGAGGAUUUGGGGAGAAAAAGCAGAAAAUAUAAAAAGAAGAUUGGCAACAGUUGUUAGCUCAGGUGCCAAUCUUUAAAAGAAAAAGAAAAAAACAUUCGUCAAACACUAUCAUUAGAAAUUAAAGGAACAUGAUUAAACUUCUCAGGAAACUUGCUAAAAAGAUACAUUUUCAUUUUAUUUUUAGAACCAAUCCUUAGAGUGAAGAAGUCUUAUUUUGCAUGUGGUCUUGUUACUUAGGAACGUUUGAAAAUAGCGCUGACAACUCUCUGGAGAACUGGAAUCCCAUCCCCGUGGAAGGAGAAGAAGGUUUGCUCUGACAAUCCCACUCAAACGACGCAGCUCGAGUUUCUCCUCUCUCCUCAAGCUGCUGUUCCGGGGUGAGGUGGUGCCUGCAUCCAGGGUCAAGAAUGUAGCGCUCUGCUGUGAUUUACUGCUGAAUGUCACCCAGUCACAGAAUCCUACUCCAGAGUAGGAAGAGCCCAGCGUGCAGCACAGAGUGGUCCUCUCAGUCUGGACUUUGUGGUGUGGAAGAGCGGAGGAUCCCGUCUACAAGGUCUGGAGGAGUGGGGUGUCCCAGCACUUCUCAUCCUGGUCACCAGACACUGCAGAGGAGGAAAAAUAAUUUUCUCUCCACUCUUUAUGGUGAGUGCCUGACUGAGACCCCCUUUUCUCUAGGGCACCUGCUAAAUGGGUAAGCUUAUCUAGGUUAACCGUUCUCCACAGUGGCCACAUGAUUCAAGAUGAUCUUUGGUAAGGUUAACCUGCUUGUUUAGCCCUAAACCAAGAUUUUACUCCCCUGAGGCCUCACACCGGACCCAGUCCAGCUUCAGUCAGAUCCAGGCUCACCCUGCACCCAGUCUGGUUUCUAAGUCAGACCUGGUCUGGUUUUUAAGUUGUACCCAGUCUGCCUCCGGUUGGUUUUGGACCCGGUGAGGUUUUCAUGUUGAACCUAGUCAUUCUAGUGCCAGCUUCCUCACCAAGUCUGGAAAAAACAAUGCUCACAUGAAGCCGGGGAGCUCAUGAUCACAAAGGAGC